AAUUUAAUAGUUAAUUUAAUAAAAAAUAUAAUAUAAGUUAAGAUGAACUUACCUAUUUUUCUAAGAAUUUUGAAUUUCAAGGAUAUACAAGUCUACAUUAAAGGAAUCGAAGAGGAAACGACCUACACAUCGAAGAGCAAUGUUUUCAACAAAAGCAACUAGCGAUACGACUAUACUUAGUCUAUGUAAAAAUUGUGAUGCAGUAUGUUACUCACCAAACUGAUUAAUCCAGCCCGCUAAAGAGCAAGAACGAUAAUCUAAUAGACUCAACUAGUACAAUCGUCAAUAUAUUUAUCAUCAAUUAAUUUUAUAUUAUUUGCAUUAAUUAAUAUAUGACAUUUGUCUUCUUAACUAUUAUAUAAGAUUAAGAGAUAAUGAGUCAAUAUAUUUAUCAUCAAUUAAUUUUUAGGUUAAACGUCAUUUAACUUAAUAUCUAUAUAUAUAAAAAUAUGUUUGCUUCACUCCUGUGCGUCCACGUCAGCGCCUGAUUAAAAACUCUUGCUCUAUGAGAUCGACACGUGGCGUUGCAUUUUAAAUCAAUUCUGAUCUGCGCUUCGGCGAUUUAUUCCUAUUUUGUUUAAUGGGCUUCUAAUUAAACCUCGUGAGAUGUUCCAGUUAAUUAAUUCCAACCCGUGAACCGAAACAUCAAAGGUCGACGAGUUCUCGCAGUUGCCUUCCUUGAUAGAUCUAGGGUUCUUCGCUCUGAGUUUGUGAUCAAGCCAGACUCUAAUGGAGGUUGUUCGAGGUUCACAGUCUCAAAUAUCUGUCUGGAAUCACUGAUUUGGUGACUUUCGCGACGUUUCGCACAUGAUUCGUCGACUAUGUUAUGUUACGGUAUUAAGUGUUCCUCCCCUUAAGCAUCAAUCUUUCCUCCUUGGAUCCACGACGCCCACGAUUUCUCAUUCAUUAAUACCCAGCUUCUAGAGAAUUUAUUGGCUGCAUAGGGAGAGAAUCCAUAAAACACUCAGUUAACCCUUUUUAUUGCAUACAUGGUUGGGAAGACUUACACCCUCCAGGUCAGGAUUAGUAGCUACAACUUCACAGCCAAUCACCAAACCUUCACUAUAUUUCGCAUAUUGAACGAGCCUGAUCGUCUGCCACUGCAUGACUUUGUAACUCAAGACGGCUUCGAUGAUAAUGACGCUGAUAUGCCUGGGAGUGUAUCGGUGCCUACUAAGGUGGACAUUGAUGACACUGAUUAUGAGGAGGUACCAACUGCAGUAACUACUUCAACGGGUGUUAACAACAGUAAGUCUCUCACUGCAGGGACUUCCAAGGUUUCCAAGAAGGACGGUGUCGCUUAAUGCUUAGGCAUCAAUGUUCUCUGUUUCAAUAAUGCUUAGGCAUCAAUAUUGGGUUUUUUUAAGACGUGACAUCUGCUUCUGUUUUUUUAAUUUCUAAACAAUGUGUAUUUUCUGAAAUAUAUUUUAAAUUAUGUUUGGCUUUAAGGUUUGUACGACUGGUUUAAGUUUACGCAAACCUAUAAAUAGUUUCCCUUAGUUCAACAGAUUUUGUUUUGAAUGAAUCAAGAAUUCAAGUAGAUACAAGGGAUGGUGCACCUAAUUCCUACCCAUUAGCGAUGAAACAUUAGCCGGUCAUUUUAUAUAAUACUAUCAGACCUAAAACUAUUAGGUACGGCUCAGUCAUUAAAUAGGCCCAUGCCUAAAUUCAGAGAAAUCCUAAAUCAUUCUAACAAACAAGAAUCAUGGGUCACAAAGUCUGAGUGCUGACAAAAAAAAAGUUAUUAUGUAAAUAUUUUUCAUAUACGUUUGAAAUACAUUAACCUAACUAAGCAUAAAAUUCCUAUGAAAAAAUUCAAUAUUUUGUAGUUACGACAAAAAUACUCCCAAAAAUAAACCGGGGGAGGUUCAGGAAAAUAUAUACCAAAAUUAAGAAAACAAAUUACUGUGUGUCAUUAAAAAAUAUAUAUAUAUAUAUCCUAAAUAUAUAUGUGUUUGGAUACAACAAUACAAUGAAUUGUAUCCUAAAGACUUGCCCAUAUCCAACUACCGUUGGUCGAAGGUUUAUAUGCUUAUCAAAGUCUGCAUAUUAUGAUUUUAAAGUAAUUAUUGUUUUGAUUCUACUUUAUAACUUUAUAUUAUAGUAAUGGACUAUAAUAGAUAAUUAAUUUCAUAAUAAUAUAAUUUUAAAAAUCAUGCACAAAAUAGCUAUUCAGUGAAUCGAUGUUACAUGAUCCAAAAAUGCAGCUUGCAAUAUAUCUAUUGAAAAAUAUAAUAUUAUGAAAAUAAAAUAACUAUAUUUCAUAAAAAAUUACUAAACAAAAUUAUGGUAAAUUUUUAAGGAAAUAAUAAACUAAUUAUAUAUAUAUAUAUAAAAUAAAACCAAUGUACAAAAAUCAUAUUCAAAAGGUAAUCAAAUAAAAAUAAAACAACAACCAAUUAUACUCUAAAACUAAUAAUAAUAUUUGUUUAAUAAUCUUAAUCAGUUUGGAUGAUAUGGUUUAAUUGAAUUUUUUAAUAAAAUAUGUAUAUUCUUAAAUAAUCAAUUUCAGAAACAAAAUUAAAAUUUUCAUAUUAUCUACAACAGUAGGUUUAGAAAUGUAUAAAAAGAAAAAGGUAAAAUAAUUACAUUAAUGAAAAAUAUUUUUUUAUUAAUUUAUAAAAUCUUUUAUUUUUAGUAAAAAAACAAAUAGUAAAGAUUAACAUUAUUUUAGUUUAGAGCAAACCAAGUAUUCUUACACGUAUAUUAAAAUAUAAUCUAUUUUUAAUUAUUUUUCAUUUGCUUACCCGUCAAUAGGAUGAGAUCAUAUAAAACAAAUCAACUUCAGAGUUCUACAAUUUCACAUGAAACACAUCAAAUUCCUUCUCCGGUUAUUAAGAAGACUUUUAAAAACAAUACAAAUUAAUACAAAAGGUUAACAUUUACUUCUUAUUGGAUUCUUAAAUGGUAUGGAUAAAAAUAAUUAAACAAAUAGAAACAUAUGCAAAUUUCUUCAAAAACAUCCGUAUAAAUAUACUAUUAGGUAGGAGUACGCUGCACUAAAAUUAUAUAAAACUCACCGAUUAUUUGGUCGAUAAGAUAUUACUAAACCGAGACGGAGAUAACAAAAUCAAAAAUAAAUUGAUCCAACAACAUAUUCAACUACUUAAAAACGUUACAUAAUCCAAAUCCCGCGCGUAACGCGGACCGACCCUAGUAGUAUCAUAAUUUGAUCUAUAUUAUCCAUUCUGAUCUAUAAUCAAUCAGAUCCAAAGCUGGUCAAUUGAUCAUUAUCUAAAUAUUAUAUGAUUUACGACAAAAAUAUCAUUAUCCCAAAUUAAGUAUCAGAAACAAUGUUUCACAUCGGAACUUGAAAGGAUCCUAAUUGCUUUUUUUUAACACCAAAUCCCUUACCAUCUCUCUAAACAGAGAGAGAAACAUAGUCAAACAUUACAAAGAACAUCUUUAGCUAACGUAUCAGCUAGCGAAUUGAAACGUCUCGAAAUAAAAGAGAAAGUACAUAUAUUCAAUAUCAUUGGUAAUUCCGUAGAGUUCAGCCAGAGAGGACGUUGUAGAGGUAAUCAACACUUUUUUUAUUAUAAAAUGUUAAAUAUUAUACCAAUUUUCGUUUUGGACGGAAGUUACAACACAAUGACUGGUAGCGAAAAUGAAAAACAACAAUACAACAACAAAAACAAUCUACGGACAACAACGACACUUUUUCUAAGGUCUGUUCAACACUUGACGGUCUGAGUUAACACAGAUUAGAAAUGGUCCUCAUUUUACCCAAAAAACUAAUGGUUCUCCAUCGUGUUUCUUAUUUUUGCUAACUAGUGUAUUUUUCAACAUACUAUUCCGAAAAUAUUAUAUAGUUUUAGCAACAAAAGAUGAAAAUAAUAUAUAUAUAUAGUUUUUACAAAAUUAGGUUACUUUGUAAAUUGGAGUCAAUUUAGUUAAUCUUAUCAAGAAAGACAAUUAGGUGAUAGAACUAUUUUUAUGCAAACCAGCGGGGUUAGCCUAGUGGUACUUGAGGGAGCUUCGGCCCUGAUACGGUUCCGGGUUCGAUUCCCACUGGCCACACGGAUAUGAGCUAUGCUUUCGGCUCAUUUGAAUGCCCAGGAGAGGGUCUAUCCGUGGGUUGUAUCUCUACCCGGAGGUUAGGUCUGUGUCUUUAAUAGACCCGGGUUUAACCCUUUUUGUUUUAAAAAAAAAAAAACUAUUCUUAUGCAUGAACAAUCAAGGAAGAACCCCGACAGUUUGGCAACCAAAGAUAUCAGUCAAAUCUGGAAUAGUGCUACUGUAACUAUGAUCUGUCUUUUGCUUUACUUUUCGACCAAGCAACUUAUUGACUAUUAGGAUAGUAUUUUUUUUUGGUCAUACUAUUACGAUAGUAUAUGUAACACUAAUUAAGCAACUAUAUCUUACAACUGUAAUAUAAUUAUGUACUCUCAGUCAACGAAAUACACUUGAAAUUCUUGAAGCUAGUAUCAAAACCGUGCCUGAAUUUUGUAGGCCCCCAAGCACAAAAUAUAUUUUGGCUCUUUAAUUACUUAUUUUGUUAAAAACAUUAAAAUUUAUGGGCAAAAAAUCGAACUCCCACCCCUUUAUCGAAUAGAAUUGGACAAACACCAGUAGAACUAACUACACUUUGAUAAAAAUAUUGGUCCUUAAAAUACUUACACACAUCAGGGUCCCAAACAUGUGUUUGGUCAGCCUAUAGUCAGGGACGGCCCUGACCACUAUUCUUUUCUCUGUUUCAGUAGUUUAACAAACACUCACAUGUACAUCAUAUUAUCUAAAAAGAAGAAAAAACAUAUUUGUACCCAUAAGCCUUUUAUAAAAAAAAACAUGUUAUUGUAAACUAGGUUAGUUUUAAAGGAGAAAAGUAAUAGAAUAGAAUGAUGGAAAUAUCUAAAUUUUACUUUUGACAUUAAUGAAAUAUUUGAACUAGACCGGUCGUUGGUUCAAUCCACCGGUACAAUUAUUAUAUGUCAAAUGGUUUUCAGAGUUGCAUAAUCAAUUUUAUGCACUACAUACAAGUUUAUAAAAAUGGAAAAAGUAAAUAAUCAUAGGGAAAACAAAGAAAAUAAAAGCAAUUAAAGUUAGCUUUUAGAUAGCAAAAAAAAAUAUCAAAACUAAAAAAAAAAAUAUCCAUUCAUAAAAUAAGAAAAUUAAUAACAGAAAUUCGCUAAAUUAUUAAUGUUUUUGCUUAUCCAAGGAAAGAAGGUUCAGGAUAAACAGCAGAAGCGCCUGCAUGAAAUAAGUUGUCAAAGAAGGUUACGGGCUCUCUUAUCUCUCUGUAGUCUGUAGUCGCUUAGCUUCAAGUGCAGCACCUUUAUUAAUCAUAUCCCUAGCAUCACUCUCCAUACCAAGCUCCCAAAGUGCUAAAGCCUGCAAGUAAAACGCAGUAGGCCACCCCGGUAUGCAAAAUUGAGCCUUCAUUGCGUCUCCCAACGCAGGAUCACGUUCACCCGUCACUAAGUAGGAGAAAGACCUUCUCGCAAAUACAGUCGCAUAUGGACUACUGGUCAUCAUCCUCACCAACUGGUAACAAAAAAAAACAGGUUUACAAGGAGUUUUAGAUAUAAUACACUUAUCUAAUAUGAUUGGAGUUUGCUGUUUGUUUGUUUUGUUUUAUCUAUUACUCUUUCUGUUUCGUAUUAUUUUUAUUUUUUGAACUACUCAUAUUAUAUAUUUUUUAACGUUUUUUCACAUAUUAAAAUCUUAGAAACGUGAUUUGUGAAAUGAUUUUUAGAAAUUUACUUAUGCGUUAUCAUCGCAUUGAUAUUUAAAGAAAAAAUAAUGAUAAUAAAAAAAUGUGACAUAUCUUCUAUCUUAUUAUGACAUUUACGAUUUUAAUGACAAGUAGUUUGAUUUUAGAAAUAUUCUUAAAAUAAGUUGAUUAAUUUUUUUGCCAACAUACCAUAAAAGUAAAUUCCUAAAAUAAGAUAAUGACAAAAUUUUACAUACCAUACAUAUAAAUUAUAUACACAACUAUUAUUAAAAUUCUUAUAAUAUACUAUAACUGAUAGUAUAAAUAUCUAAAUCCCGUCAAAUUAAUUGUAAAUAUAUUCUAACAAAUGCAAACAAAAAAAUUGAUUAAAAUUCAAAAUUUUGUAAAUAUCUAAUAAUUUAAAUAUUUAAAAGUUAUAAUUAGAUCAACUAAUUAGCAUAAAUAUGUGAUUAAUUAAGUUUUUUAAGUAUUAAAUUUAUUUGAAAUUAAACUCUAUAAAAUGCAUCAGUUGUAUGAUUGACAAUUAAUUAAGAUAAAUAUGAUAAAAAGUUUAAUUGAUCAAUAUAUUUUAACCAAAAAUAUAUACAACAAAAUCUACACUAAAUUAUAGUGUUUAAAAAUUUAUUUAAAAUAAAUAUAUCCAUUCUUCACUUUCACUUAACUGUAACUAUAACUUUAAUAAAUAAUAAAUAAAUAAAAAUAUUUUAAAAUUAAAUGGAAAACCUACAUAAAUAAUUAUUUAUGAUUUCAGUUUUUGUUUUUAAACCGGUUAGACAUAUAAUUAAAUUUUUAAAUAAAACUAUUUUAAGAAGAAUAUCUUUGCGCAUGCAUAGGAAACCACCUAGUCACAACUAAAUGCUCUGUUUUGUUUCUAAUUAAUGUAUUAAUUUGUUGUAGUUUGAUAAUUGUGGAAAUAAAAGAAUAUGGAUAAAACUGAAAAAAAAUAUAAAAUAAAUUUUAGAAUAAAACAAAUUUUAAAGUGCAGAAUUGACGAUGUAUAUGAAACGGCUAGAGUACCUUUGAAUAAUAUUUAAUCGCGUUAAUGAAGUCCUGGUCUCUGAAAGCAUUGUCUCCCAAGUUCUUUGUUUGAACCAGUUCCUGGUUUUGUCGUGUCACUAGAAGCUGUGGAGGCAAAGUGGAGAUAAUAUUAGAACGUGAAAAACCAAAUGGAAGAACUAGCUAGGUUAAUGAUUUGUCUCCAAGUACAUCACUCUCUGCUCCUUCGUCGCUGUAACCAGUUUUAAGCAAAAUCUCGUACACAGCCGAGUGGUCCAUCCGAGAACAAGCCUUUUUGAGAGGAGAAAGCAUGGUUGGCUGUAUUACUGUACUCUUAGGCAGACGCAUCAAGAAAUAAGAUGCAAUCUAAACAUAAACACAAAAAUUAAUUAUUUGGUACAAGAAAAUAUUGAGUAUUCGUUUAUAUGAUUCUUUAACCUCUUCCAAUUUUUGUAGUGGUGCUGCUGCAGAGACAAGAGAUUCAGUAUCAGGUCGAUCUUCCGGGUUCUUUUGAAGACAUUUCGAAGCAAGAUUAAGAAGCUUAGUCGCGUCUUCACUCUCAAAUCUCCCUUCAAGUGAUGAAUCCAUGAGUAGCAUCGCAUUUUUCUCCAUUAUGAUAUCAAAAGCCUGACAUAUUGAAACAUUCAUCACUAGUCUCAUAUUAAGAUGACAAAUUAGUGAAAUGAAACAAGAAAAUUUUCAGGGACAUUACAUGGUUCGGUGGAAUGUGUUUGCCGCUCACAAGUUCUAUAAGAACAUUUCCAUAACUGUAAAUCACACUCUCAGGAAUAAUUGUACCUAACAAAUGUGAAAGAUAACCGUUGAAUUCAUCUAAAUCAAGAAAGUACUAUAAGAAUGAAGAUUCUUUACCUGUUUCUGAAAACUCUGGUGGAGCGUAAGUCAAGUUAGUGCUAUAGCUUAUUCCGUCUCUGCGGUUCUUGAUGAGACCAAAAGUUGAUAGACGAGGAUCACCUUCCUCAUCAAAGAGGAUUCUGGAUGCACUUAAAUCAUGAUAGAUCUUUUGGUUUUUGACGUUGCAGUAAUCAAGUGCUUGUGCAAUAUAAUAUGCAACUCGAACACGCAUUUCCCAAGGAAUUUCCUGUCUGUUCCCUACACAACAAAAGAGAGCAUCAUUUCUCUAAGCGAAGAUCUAAAGGGAAGUAGUCAGAUAAAAGAUUAGAGGAACAUCUUACAGUAAAAAAGAUGCUUUGAGAGAGUACCAUAGGGCAUAUACUCAGCCACCAACAAUCUCUCGCCUCUUUCAACGCAAUAACCAAGCAGAUUGACCAAUCUCUUGGACCUAAGCUUUCCAACAGCAGUCGCCUGAUCCUGAUUCCACAAGUCAAAACAAUAGUCAAGGCAAGAUCAACUAUUACAAUUCAGACAAGAUAAACAGACAAAAAAAAAAGUUCCAAUGCAUCUUUUCUUUCAGCCUAAAGUUUCAGACAUACAUUAGCAUAUUCUAUGGUCAAGAUAGACACUAACUAAAGUAUUAUUUUCCCCUUUUACAACUAAAUAAACCGUUUAGUCUUCAACUAGUCACUGAUAAUCAAUGAAACAUAAUAAAGUCUGAAAUUUUGAACUAGCCCUUUUUAAGAUUCUUACCACAAAGUGCUGAGCAUCAGGCCAAGUCAGUUUAGAGAAUCGCUUGACAGCGACGAGAACAUUGCCUUCGAGCUUUCCUAUGUAAACCUCAUUGAAAUCUUUCACCCCACCUUCAGAGACAAUGCAACUGGGACUAAACUCAUUUAUUAUGUAGAAUAAUUCACUUAAUGUAAAUUUUUUGAAACAUGGGAUUUGAUUCUCCUGUUCCACUUGGUUCUCAUGAUCCACUUGGUCCUCAUGAUCCACUUGGUCCUCAUGAUCCACUUGGUCCUCAGUUACUGAAACACAAAAACAGUUUUAUCAUCAGAAAGGGGUUAGGGGAGUUAUAGGAGUGUAGUUCAGAGAGGUAUACACUUUCCAUCUCAUUCCUACUUUGCACCAACACCCACAAUCAUUAAACCACACGCACACAGGAGUUAAGACAGAACUAGGCAAAAGACAAACUAAUCUACACUACCACUAAGAACAAAAUUAGAGUUAAACCUGAUUCUAAUUGGUGCUGAACUGAUGGAUGAUCAGGAGAAGUGAUCACAUCAGCAUCUUUGGACUGGAAACAGCCCAUCAAAAGAAAUGAGAUUCUUCCAAGCAAUGGGAAAUGUGAAAGAGUAAGUUGAUAAUCAAAAAUGAUUAUGCCGAGAGAAGAUUGUGCCUCUCGCUCUGAGUGAGUUUGGAUUAUAUAUUAUGUUUGGCAUUGUUCUAUGUAUAAGGGGGAGAGGCAAAACAAGAAUAAAACUGAAAAUUAUCACAGAAAGAGUAAGAAUAUAUAUAUUUUUGAAAACAAUUGAGAGAGAAGUAGGUUUUUUGAGUUUCUGUUUUAACAUAUAUAUAUAUAAAUCCAAUCAAAAGGAUUAUUUACCAUAAAAUGAUUGACUUUAAUUAUAUAUUACCAACCAACAGCUAAGAUAUACUCCUUACAUAAAAUCCUUACAGGAAAGUCUAAACGCCAAUCAAAAGCUACAGAAUGUCAAAUAAAAAAAAAUAUUUCAUGCGAAACAAAAUAUAUACCUUAACUUGCAUGCAUGUAUCUAACACAAGACUCUUUGUCUAAUCAGAGAGCUAGUUUGCUUCUCUAAUUAAUUCCUUUUAUUUCAUGCUAGAAGUUGGAAGUAGUGUUUCCUUUAUGCUGACGCAUUUUGGUUAUUUACCUAUGGAUAUGUAAAGCUAUCAUGCCUAUGAGAAAGACCUUCUCUCAAAUACAGUCGCAUAUGGAACGGUCAUCAUCCUCACCAACUGGUAAAAAAAAACAGGUUUACUAGUUGUUUUAGAUAUGAUACACUAACUAGAUUUUGAUCCGCGCUUUCAAAGCGAGGAAAUAUAUUUGUUGACAAAUUUAUUGAUAUAACUGUUUGUUAAUUAAUUUAUUUCGCUAUAAACAUUUUCGGUUUUCGUUCGACUCUAAUUUGCUUUUAUUGGUUUUCAAUUUCAGUUUGGUUGUGGUUUUUGGUUUAGAAAUAUAUGAAAAAUUUUGGUUAUAUAUGAAGUUGAGUUUUGGUUAAAGUGAUUGAAUAUUUUGAUAUUUUGUGUGGUAUGGAUAUAUAAAAAUUUCGAAUUUAUUGGAUCUUUUUGUCAUCCGUCCGAUUGUCCAUUUCGAUUGUUUUCGGUUGUGGUUACAUUUCUGUUUUAAAUCAUUUCAAAUAAUUGAGGUAAAAUAAAAAAAAUAUUUAUAUUGUGAAUCACCAAUAUAAUACAAUGGGAGAAAUAUUUAAAAAAUUAUUUUAUUUACAUAUCUAUUUAUUUAAGGUAUAAAUAAUAUAGGAAAGAAUAACAAAUAAUUUUAAUAACGUAAAGUUACUAUAUUAAGAAACAAAUGUUAUAGUUUUAUUAAAAAUAUAAUCUGUAAUGUUUAUAUUAUGAAAAAAUUAUAAUGUCGAUAUUUUAUAUUUUCAAAUAUUUUAAUUUGCUGAAAAGAAUUAAAAUGAGACGCACUAUUACUUGAUUUUAAAAUCACAUGCAAAAAUGAUCAAGUUGGGUCGCAAAAACCAAUUCAACCAAAAAGCAAAGAAAACAUAUAUCUUAUUUUAUUUUAAUAGGCCCAAGUCCACUGCCAUUGCAAAUCUAGUUUAUUGUUUUAACCGACAAAAUCAGGUUUAUUAUUGGAAAAAUCACUAAGUUAAUGAAAAAUUUUGUAAUUAAUUAGAAAAGUCAGGAGCAUAAUCCCAAAAAAUAUUAUGCUUUAAUAGUAUAGAUCUGAUGAUUGGAUUUUUCUGUUUGUUUAUUUUGUUUUGUUUUGUUUUAUUUAUGAGUUUCGUUUCAUAUUAAAUAUCGUUUAAGGUUUUUUCACACCUCUUAAAAUCUCUUAAACUUGAUAUGUUAAAUAUUUUUUAAAUUUGCUUGUGUCAUCAUCACAUUGAUUUUGAAAAAAAAAAUAUAAUAACAUGAUUUAGUAAGAAAUGUGACAUAUAUUCUAUCUUAUUAUGACAUAUAUUUAAUGAAAAAUAUUUUGAUUUUAGAAAUAUUCUUAAAAUAAGUUGAUAAAAAAUAAUUUGACUACAUACCAUAACAGUAGAUUCUUAAAAUGAGAUAAUGAUUAAAUUUGGCAACAUACCAUAACUGUAAAUCAUAUACAUAAUUAUUAUUAAAAUUAUGAGAAAAUACUAUAAUUGAUAGUAUAAAUAUAUAUACCCUGUCAUAUUAAUUUUAAAUAUAUCAUAACGAAAAAAUGGUUAAAAUUCAUAAUUCUAUGAAUAUUUAACUAAAUAUUUUAAAGUUAUACUUAGAUCUAUUAAUUAGCAUAAAUAUUUGAUUAGUUGAGUUUUCAAGUAUUGAAUUUAUUUGAAUUUAAACGCUAUAAAAUGCAUCGUAUAAGACUGACAAAUUAAGAUAAUACAAUAAUAAAAUUAAUUGAUUAAUAUAUUUCAACCAACAAAUGUAUAAAAAACAUGUACAUGAAAUUAUAGUGUUAAAUAUAAACCUAUUUAAAAUAAAUAUAUCUAUUUUCAUUUUAACUUAAUUUUAACUAAAACUUAACUAAAUAAAAAUUAAAUUAAAAUAUUUUUAAACUAAGUAGAAAAAUUAAAUAAAUAAUAAUUAAUGAUUUCAGUUUUUAUUUUAAAACAGGUAAAACAUAAUUUUUAAAUAUAACUUUUUAAAAACAUUUCUUCGCAUGCACAAGAAACCACCGAGUUACAACUAAAUGCUAUGUU